AUGGAUUGGUUAUCGAAGUAUGAAGGGAAUAUUGAGUGCGCCAGUAAGUCACUUUUGCUUACAACGCCAGAAGGAAGAAGGAUCGAGUAUGUAUCCCGGCAUGUGCCAAAGAGGACUCAAGUAAAUUCCUUAACAGGAGUUGUGCAGGAGGAAGUACCAGUAGUAAAGGAUUACCCUGAUGUAUUUCCAGAGGAGUUGCCAGGCAUGCCACCGGAUAGAGAUAUUGAGUUUUUGGUUGAGCUUUUGCCAGGCACAGGGCCAAUAUCUAAGAGACCAUAUAGGAUGCCCGCAAAGGAUUUGGAGGGGAUUAAGAAGCAGAUUAAAGAAUUAUUGGAUAAGGGUUAUAUUCGCCCAAGUUCUUCACCUUGGGGAUCGCCGGUACUUCUAGUAGAGAAGAAGGAUGGAUCAUUAAGGAUGGUUGUUGAUUAUCGAGGAUUGAAUGAAGUAACCAUCAAGAACAAUUACCCACUACCGAUGAUCAAUGAUCUGUUUGAUCGAUUGCAAGGAGCUAAGGUAUUUUCCAAGAUCGAUCUGCGAUCAGGAUACCAUCAGCUAAAGAUUCAAGAACAGGAUAUACCUAAGAUGGCAUUUACCACCAGGUAUGGGCUGUAUGAGUAUACCGUUAUGUCAUUUGGUCUGACUAACGCACCUGCAUAUUUUAUGAACAUGAUGAACAAAGUGUUUAUGGAGUUUUUGGAUAAGUUCGGCGUAGUGUUCAUUGAUGAUAUCCUAGUUUACUUAAAGGAUGAAGAGGAGCAUAAGGAGCAUUUGCGUUUGGUACUUGGUAAGCUCAGAGAACAUCAGUUAUAUGCCAAGUUUAGCAAAUGUGAGUUUUGGUUGAAGGAAGUUGGAUUUCUCGGACACGUUAUAUCUGGAGAAGGUAUAGCAGUAGAUCCCACCAAGGUUGACACUGUGACAAAUUGGGAAGCCCCAACAACAGUUGGAUAG
rnacentral:rRNA from 1 species